ACACAUGCAAGUCGAACGGUAGCACAGAGGAGCUUGCUCCUUGGGUGACGAGUGGCAGACGGGUGAGUGAUGUCUGGGAAACUGCCCGAGGGAGGGCGAUAACUACUGGAGACGGUACCUUAGACCGCAUAACCUAAUACGACCAAACAGGGGGAUCCUCAGGCCUUUUGUUAUCGGAGGGGCCCAGAUGGUAUCUUCUGGUAGGUGGGGUAACGGCUCACCUAGUUGACGAUCCCUAGCUGGUCUGAGAGGAUGACCACCCACACUGGAACUGAGACACGGUCGAGACUCCUACGGGAGGCAACAGUGGGGAAUAUUGCAGAAUGGGCGCAAGCCUGAUGCUCCCCUGCCGCGUGUAUUCAGAAGGACUUCUGGUUGUAAAGUACUUACAGCGAUGAGGACGGUGUUCUGUUCUAUUACCGCAAAGAUUGAUGUUACUCCAAUAAUAAGCGCCCGCUAACU
rnacentral:rRNA from 1 species